rnacentral:rRNA from 1 species
CAGCAGCCGCGGGAAUACGUAGGGUGCAAGCGUUAAUCGGAAUUACUGGGAGUAAAGCGUGCGCAGGCGGUUAUAUAAGACAGAUGUGAAAUCCCCGGGCUCAACCUGGGAACUGCAUUUGUGACUGUAUAGCUAGAGUACGGCAGAGGGGGAUGGAAUUCCGCGUGUAGCAGUGAAAUGCGUAGAUAUGCGGAGGAACACCGAUGGCGAAGGCAAUCCCCUGGGCCUGUACUGACGCUCAUGCACGAAAGCGUGGGGAGCAAACAGGAUUAGAUACCCCAGUAGUCCCUGUCUCUUAUAC